rnacentral:lncRNA from 1 species
UUCUGAAUUAUUUGAAAGAUUUCAGCCUAGAACCGGAUAUUUCUCUUGUUAAGAUACAAAAAUCAUGGAUCUGAAAUUUUUUGGUAAACUGACCCCUAUACAUUGUUUCAGCCAUAAUUUUCAGUACCGAACAUGGAUUUAGGCAGGACCUUGUUUAUUUGAAAGUAUACUCUUAUACCUUCCUUUUGACACUGAUUUUGAAAAAUUUGGACUCCGAAUACUU